GAACUCUGAUACAGAACAUGACCAUAGGAAGUGGGAUAGUACUCUAACAAAUAUCUGGAAAAUGUGUGUAAAGCCAUGUAAUGGGUACCUGAGUAAACACUGGACAAGCUUUUACACGUGUACUGGAGAAGAGGCUGUUGAACAGGUCAUAGUGAGGUCUCAGAAGAAAAGAGGAAAGCUGUAGAGAAUGCUAUCAUUAUCUUGGAGAAUACAUAAAUAAAACGUAGAGGUUACAGGUAGGACACAGACAUUAAGCCCAAUUCUAAUGAGGUCUCUGAUGGAAACGAGAAGCAUGCUAUUGGGAAACAGAAAAAGGGACCUUGUUACUAAGCAGCAUAGAACAUGACCAAAUUAUGUUUGUACCCUCAUAUUUUCUGGAAAAUAAUUUGAGAGUGAUUAACGAGAUACUUAGUCGGGUCGGUUUCCAGAGGAAAGUAUUGAGGGGCUUGACUCCCCCUGGCUGCUUCUAGGACAUGAAGGGGUCAUUAAGCCAAACAGAACCAGAACUGCGCAAACUUGAGCUGUUUUCAGCAUGUCCAUACUGUAAGAAGUGAGAAAGGAUGUUUGGAACAGAGUCCAACACUCAGGAAAUAUGACUCACCGCUUGAUAAGACAAUUGGUCCAGACAUGAGCUAUCAACAUAAUCACCCACCUCAGCAGAGGCCAGGAAUAAACAUGGGAAUUUUACCAAUAGAAACUUUGUCACACCGAACCAAGGCAAACAGCACUGAAUGAAUGAAGUCUGAAAACAUCCCAUUUCACAUAUAUAAAAAAGAAACUCCCUGAUGGGUAUAAAGUUUAUUUUGGUGUGUGGCUUCAAAGGAAUUUCGGUCCUUCAUAUCUAAAAAUGCAUGUAGGAGUUGACCUGUUGUGGCAGCUGGAAGAUGAGGAAUACACCUUCUGGCUGCACCCAGACUGUCAGCCACUAAAGAAGCUCAUAAACACAAGGACUCCGAAAGGCAUCCAGCCAACAUGACCUCAGAAGUAUUUACAUACUGUGAUGGAGACCGUGAUAUAAUUCAGUUUCUGUAUCACUGUAUUUUCUGCCAAUUACUACUCCAGUGUGUCUCUCGGGGAUGUGGACAUUUUUGACAAGAUGAGGAGAAAAAAAUCAAUUCUCUUUUGAGGAAUCAAUGUAUUAAUACCCAAGUUAUUGCUGCCAAUUGGAAACCCAUUGUCAUCUUAUUUCUGGUGAAGUUAUGCAUGUGAGAGGGGAGCCGGGUCUGUUACUGUUAGCAAGGCAUAGGUUUGAAAGAAGUCAGUAUAAUACCGCAAC
ensembl:lincRNA uncharacterized LOC110305719